GCCUAACACAUGCAAGUCGAGCGCGCCUUUCGGGGUGAGCGGCGGACGGGUUAGUAACGCGUGGGAAUAUGCCCUUUGGUACGGAAUAGCCUCUGGAAACGGAGAGUAAUACCGUAUGAGCCCUUCGGGGGAAAGAUUUAUCGCCAAAGGAUUAGCCCGCGUUAGAUUAGGUAGUUGGUGGGGUAAUGGCCUACCAAGCCUACGAUCUAUAGCUGGUUUUAGAGGAUGAUCAGCAACACUGGGACUGAGACACGGCCCAGACUCCUACGGGAGGCAGCAGUGGGGAAUCUUGGACAAUGGGGGCAACCCUGAUCCAGCCAUGCCGCGUGAGUGAUGAAGGCCUUAGGGUCGUAAAGCUCUUUCGCCUGUGAAGAUAAUGACGGUAGCAGGUAAAGAAACCCCGGCUAACUCCGUGCCAGCAGCCGCGGUAAUACGGAGGGGGUUAGCGUUGUUCGGAAUUACUGGGCGUAAAGCGCACGUAGGCGGAUCGGAAAGUUGGGGGUGAAAUCCCGGGGCUCAACCCCGGAACUGCCUCCAAAACUAUCGGUCUAGAGUUCGAGAGAGGUGAGUGGAAUUCCGAGUGUAGAGGUGAAAUUCGUAGAUAUUCGGAGGAACACCAGUGGCGAAGGCGGCUCACUGGCUCGAUACUGACGCUGAGGUGCGAAAGUGUGGGGAGCAAACAGGAUUAGAUACCCUGGUAGUCCACACCGUAAACGAUGAAUGCCAGUCGUCGGGUAGCAUGCUAUUCGGUGACACACCUAACGGAUUAAGCAUUCCGCCUGGGGAGUACGGUCGCAAGAUUAAAACUCAAAG
rnacentral:rRNA from 1 species